rnacentral:rRNA from 1 species
GCACAAGCGGUGGAGCAUGUGGUUUAAUUCGACGCAACGCGAAGAACCUUACCUGGGCUUGACAUCUGCGGAAUUUCUAUGAAGUAGGAAGUGCCUUCGGGAGCCGCAAGACAGGUGCUGCAUGGCUGUCGUCAGCUCGUGUCGUGAGAUGUUGGGUUAAGUCCCGCAACGAGCGCAACCCUUAUCUUUAGUUACCAUCAUUCAGUUGGGGACUCUAAAGAUACUGCCCCGGUCAACGGGGAGGAAGGUGGGAUGACGUCAAGUCCUCAUGGCCCUUAUGUCCAGGGCUACACACGUGCUACAAUGGGCAGUACAAAGGGUAGCAAGCCUGCGAAGGUGAGCCAAUCUCAAAAAGCUGUUCGUAGUUCGGAUUGGAGUCUGCAACUCGACUCCAUGAAGCUGGAAUCGCUAGUAAUCGCGGAUCAGCAUGCCGCGGUCGAAUACGUUCCCGGGCCUU